GUCUACAGCCAUGCCCCCCUGAACACGCCUGAUCUCAUCUGAUCUCGGAAGCUAAGCAGGGUCGGGCCUAGUUAGUACUUGGAUGGGAGACCACCUAGUAUUCCUACAGGUGCUGUAGGCA
rnacentral:rRNA from 1 species